GAUGAACGCUGGCGGCGUGCUUAAUACAUGCAAGUCGAACGAAGCACCUUGGACAGAAUCCUUCGGGAGGAAGACCAUUGUGACUGAGUGGCGGACGGGUGAGUAACGCGUGGGUAACCUGCCUUGUACAGGGGGAUAACAGUUGGAAACGACUGCUAAUACCGCAUAAGCGCACAGUACCGCAUGGUACGGUGUGAAAAACUCCGGUGGUACAAGAUGGACCCGCGUCUGAUUAGCUUGUUGGUGAGGUAACGGCCCACCAAGGCGACGAUCAGUAGCCGGACUGAGAGGUUGAACGGCCACAUUGGGACUGAGACACGGCCCAGACUCCUACGGGAGGCAGCAUGGGGGAUAUUGGACAAUGGGGGCAACCCUGAUCCAGCGACGCCGCGUGAGGGAAGAAGGUUUUCGGAUUGUAAACCUCUGUUGACGGAGAAAAAAUGAUGGUAUCCGUUUAGAAAGCCACGGCUAACUACGUG
rnacentral:rRNA from 1 species